rnacentral:lncRNA from 1 species
CAGUUCUCGAUUAAAUUACAAGAUAAAACUCAACUUUUACAUCACAUUCUCCAAAAUUACAUAUCAUCACCGUAGCGGAAAUUAAUUCCCAAGAGUGGAAUGUAUACAAACACCCGAUCCACAUCCAAACAACCAUGCAAGCCCAAAAUUUACACAAGUUAAAUCUAAAAUCAAAGUGUACAAGAGAAAUCCAUCCAUUCCCAUUUCAAACAAUCACCCUAGCUCAACUAUUAUACAAAACGGAUUCAAAUCUAAACUAUACAAGAUAAUAACGUAAUACAAGCGCUUCCUUUGCCUCGAUUCCUAUGGGGAGAAGAAAACAUUUGGGGGUGAGUUAGAAACUCAGUGAGUGAACAGUAAAACCGGUAAUCCAAUAAACUUAACAAUAAUGUAUUUAAGUGCUAUCAUGAAUUAGCGACCAAAUGUGCAUAUAAUGCUCUUUGGAGCCAGUGAAAAUCCUUGUACUUAAAUAUCCAACGCUCCCUUAGAUCAAGUAACCAGAUGAACAGAAACAAGGAUCCAUCAUGCUCCAAAGAAUGCAUAAACAGCAGCGGAGACAUUGGUUUUAAGCACAAGAUUUUCCCACGAACUCAUUGGAGCCAAAAUGUUAUGGCACACACACAUACACAAUGAGAUGCCAUCAUGUAAUCAAUGCAAGAAUUAUUUCAAAAAUAACUUUUGGAGAAAUAGUUGAGGUUCACUCACCAACCACGGCUCACGAACCUUAUCCGGCAUACCUCAUUACCUUGAGCAAGUUGAAACCCUAAAUUACAAAUAUCAAGUCAAGCAAAGGAAAUUCUAAAAUUAACAAGCUUCCAUUGCCUUUGACAUUUUAAACACAAUUAAAGCUACACUUAUCCGAUCGAAACGAAUCUUAUGGCGUUACGAAGCUAAGACAUAUGUCAACAUUUUUUUUUAUGAAGAUCUCCAAGGCCAAAACAUACUUAUUCAGGAUCAAAAUCCGAAUCCCAGCGAAAGAACGAAAAUUGUCAUAAAACAGGGGUUAUGGGGCAGUCAUGGGUAUUUCGGCCAAUUCACAAGCCACAGUACUUCAAUCAAUCUGAAAUUUUGCAGGCAAGUAGUCAACUCAUAUAUCUACAAGUUUCACGUUUUGAGCAAAAGUUGAUUCGGUCUACAGUACCGAGAAAAUGAUAGUCCAAGUUCAGUCCAGAAACAGGGAAAAACUGAAAUUACUCUUCUUGAACCGACCUUUGCGCAUGACUAUCACUAAUCACAAUUAAGGGCUAGAAAUCCCCACUUAACAUGAGACUAGCCUAUACCAAUCAUGUACAGGCCAAAACAAGGAUGAAUUAACUUAAACAAAGUUUAGAAAUGUCACUAAGAUGGAACUUAAUCCUCCCAAUGUCCAAAUCAUAAGAAUUUCCAUAAAAUGAAUCAAGAUCAAUUCAAAUUCAAAACAAACACAUACUCUCCAAAAUUGGACGGCAUAACCCCUAAAUUUUACACAUUUCAAACCUACCAUUCAAAUACCAAUUCUCAUAACAAUUAACCACAGUCACCCAUAUUAUUCAUAAUCAAUACCAUACAUUCAAUUAGCCACAAUUUCCUUCAAUCAAAGCCAAUUACAAGCUUAAAGCCAACCUUGGAAAAAUCCGCAAUUUGAAACCUUAGAAACCGGAAAUUCACUUCACAUACGGAAAUUUUCCGCAACAACCAUAAAUAACGUACAAGAGCUUCUAUUAACACCAUUUAAACCACUAAUCCAAAUCCAAUCCAAGACUUUCACAUAAAAUCAUAAAAAUACCCAAUAAAUCAGAAAAUUACCAUAAUUUCCAUAAACCCAUGAAAUACUCCAUAAAAUAACAUACAUGACCACCACAAACCAUUAAUUAACCAAUAUUAGAACCAAAGGAAACUUGCAUAUCCAAUCUUACCUCAAAUUCAAGAGAGCUAUCCACCUAGAGCUUCCCUUCAAAAACCAAUCCAUCAAAAGCUUUAAACCACCAUAGAGAACUCUUGUGUGAAAUAUUGUCCAAAACCAUCGGUGAAAUCGCAAGAUUUUGGGACAAAAUUGAAGUUGGAAAAUGAAGAGGUUUCUUUCUCUCAAAGCUCACGGAUGAACC